UUUAUUUAGAGUUUGAUUCUGGCUCAGGACGAACGCUGGCGGCGUGCUUAACACAUGCAAGUCGAGCGGAAUAUGGGAGCUUGCUCCUAUAUUUAGCGGCGGACGGGUGAGUAACGCGUGAGCAACCUGCCUUAGACUGCGGGAUAACACUUAGAAAUAGGUGCUAAUACCGCAUAAGACCACACUCCGGCAUCGGAGAGGGGUAAAAGAUUUAUCGGUUUAAGAUGGGCUCGCGUCCCAUUAGUUAGUUGGUGAGGUAACGGCCCACCAAGACUAUGAUGGGUAGCCGACCUGAGAGGGUGAUCGGCCACAUUGGAACUGAGAAACGGUCCAAACUCCUACGGGAGGCAGCAGUGGGGAAUAUUGGGCAAUGGAGGCAACUCUGACCCAGCAACGCCGCGU
rnacentral:rRNA from 1 species